UGCAGAGGAUAAAGCAUAAGAUUGGAAGCAGAGAAUUGAGUGGCUUCAAAUUAUGAUUUAGUAAAUGGGCCACACGUGAACCAGUGAUAUGUGUGUGUGUGUGUGUGUGUGUGUGUGUGUGUGUGUGUGUUGGAGUCCUGGAGGGAGUGGGUCAGACUUGAACCUCAGGUGCAA